UUGCUGUAGAUGGCGGCAGGGUUGUACCCUGGAUUAACACCUCCCUUGUGUUUCUUCAAGGGCUUUUCAAACCUGUGUUAUUGUUUAAUUUUUCUCUCCUAGGUCCUCUGAUAACCAAUGUCUUGCACUUAAAUCUAGAGAGAAUAACUUGUCAGGAAGUAUGGAAAUAAAGAAAUGCAGCUACUACUGAGCAAGGGAAACCUUGCAGCUUUUUGCUGUGAUGCAUGGAGGGGUACAAGCUCCUUGUUUGGCUUUUUGAAGAUGAGGACUUUCAGCAUUGUUGGCAUGAAGCACUGUUCCUGGCAUGAGCACAGCAGAUAUCUGAGCCUUUCCUACUACAAGCAUGGCACCUUAUGCAUAGGAAGCACUGCUUCUCAGCCUCCCCACCAGUACUCAUAUAGCCCCACCUGUCCUGGUGAGCUUGUCUGGCUGUUCUUGGUGGGAUUAGUUUUCUGUCCUGUCAGGGCUGAUGCUGUGGGGGCAGGCAGGAGGGGAGAGGCUGGGAACACCUACAUCUCUUCUGGAGGUGGCAUGAGUUUAGCUCAGCUCCAGCGACUUGACACCACAGGCACAGUGAUCAGUUUGGAGAGGUCAGAAUCUGCACAAGGGAGGCAGGGGAGAAGGAGAGGAGGAGGUGCAGAGAAAUGAAGUGAGUUGUCCUUGAUCACAAAGCCCAUCAGUACCAGAGCUGGGACAAGAACUGGGUCUCCAUGCCCAGCUGCUUGAGGGCAUUUCAUUCUGCUGUAGUUUCAGGUAAUGGAAAUGUCCAUGUUUUUGCAACUUAAGUAAAACACAACCAGGCACACGCUGUAU
rnacentral:lncRNA from 1 species